rfam:Dipodomys ordii contig_2792, whole genome shotgun sequence.
GGGAAGGUAGCUCAGAGGUAGAGUGCUUGCCUUCUAUGCAUGAGGCCCUAGGUUUGAUUCCUCAGUAUCA